UACGGAGGAUGCGAGCGUUGUCCGGAUUUACUGGGCGUAAAGGGAGCGUAGGCGGACUUUUAAGUGAGAUGUGAAAUACCCGGGCUCAACUUGGGUGCUGCAUUUCAAACUGGAAGUCUAGAGUGCAGGAGAGGAGAAUGGAAUUCCUAGUGUAGCGGUGAAAUGCGUAGAGAUUAGGAAGAACACCAGUGGCGAAGGCGAUUCUCUGGACUGUAACUGACGCUGAGACUCGAAAGCGUGGGGAGCAAACAGGAUUAGAUA
rnacentral:rRNA from 1 species